UACGGGGGGGGCAAGCGUUGUUCGGAAUUACUGGGCGUAAAGCGCGUGUAGGCUGCUCGGAAAGUCGGAUGUGAAAGCCCUGGGCUCAACCUAGGAAGUGCAUUCGAAACUUCCGAGCUGGAGUGCUGGAGAGGAAGGCGGAAUUCUCGGUGUAGAGGUGAAAUUCGUAGAUAUCGAGAGGAACACCGGUGGCGAAGGCGGCCUUCUGGACAGCCACUGACGCUGGAGACGCGAAAGCGUGGGGAGCAAACAGG
rnacentral:rRNA from 1 species